ensembl:lncRNA
CACUUUUUAAUUAGUGUAGGAAAAACAGGAAAAAUCAGACUCAGAUUAUUCCUCAGUUUAUUCAGUUCCAGGCUUUUAAAAAAUUAUUACUGUUGUUUUCUUUUCUCUUUUUUUUUCCUGCAGGGUUGGAGCUCAAACCCAGGGCUUCAUGCAUACUAGGCAAGUGCUCUACCACUGAGCCACACUCUUAGCCCCCUUUUAAGUUUUUGAGGCAAUGCUGAAUUUAAGCUGUGCCUCAGAGACUGAAGUUUUAAAAGCUUUAGGUGAUACUGAUAGCUUCCUCUUUGAUUCUCUUGUCAUUUUUGCCUCCACAUUGUUUAUUCCUCAGUCUCUUUCAGAAUUAAUGAAGAAGAAAAUUGAGCUGAUAUAGGCAAAAAGCAGUAUGAUAAUAUAAGUAUAUAAAAGUACACAUGCAUUUGUAUUCAGAAAUAUGCAAAUUCACAGUUUUUAACUCAGGGUCACCUAAAUUGACAUGCUGUUGAAUUUACUGUGUUCUGUGGCUAGAUAAAAUUCUAAACAUGACUUUGUGAUUUGUGAAACCAAAUUGAUAGUAUUCUUUGUUUUAAAAAUUGUCAGGUUAAACACAAAUUAUUAAAAAAUACGGAGUUUUACUCCAGGAUAAGGUGUUCAUUUUGUGAUAUUAUGCAGAAUAAUGUAUGAGUAAAAUCAACUUUGUAAGUAUGUAGAUAUGUCAUAAAUAAUGCUUUAAUUUAUUUCCCAAAGGCAUAUAGUGAUUUUUAAAUGCCCAUUUAUAUUUGUAUUAUAUUAGAAAAACUCAUUUUUUGUCUAAAUUGGUUGCUGGCUGCCAAGAAUUCUUGUAGAAAAGCAGCUUCAAAUACCUUCAUUCUAAUGGAACUGUAGUGUUCAGGUACAGCAGGAUUGUUAAUGUCAAGGUCAGAGAACUCCAUGUUUAGGAGAAAGGAUACACUGGAGAUAAAGGAAAUUGAGCUGGAAGUUACAACCUGUGUUCAUGAGGGAGCCUGUUUAGUACUGGAUUUAAUUUACCUUUGACCACUGAAAAUGUCUUUUAAUUAGCCAAAAGCUGUAGUGUACAUUAGGGUUCAUUUUGGUGCUGUACAUAGGCUUGGAUGGAUGUACAAUGACAUGUUUCCAUUAUUAUAAUGUUGCAAAGUAUUUUCAUUCCCCUAAAAAUUCUCCAUGUUCUACCUGUUCAAACCCAGCUCCCACCCCAGACCUCUCAUGCCCACUAAUCAUUUCACUGUCUCCUAGUUUGUCCUUUUCCAGAAUGUCUUAUAGUUGGCAUCUUACACUGUGGUAGCCAUUUCAUAUUGGUACACACUAAAAAGGUUUUCCUGUCUAGUUUUAUGGCUUGGUAUUUCUUAGUGCUGAAUAACAGUCUGUUGUCUAGACGUACCACAGAUCACUUCUCUCUCCACCUGCUGACCACUACCUUGGUUGUGUCCAGGGUUUGGCAGUUAGGAGUAAUGCUGCUAUAAAUGUUUAUGUCCAGUUUUUUUGUGGGCCAGGUUUUUAGCUCCUUUGCAUGAAUACUUGGAGUGCAAUUGCUUUUAUGGUGAGAGGGUUAAUUCUGUUUAAAAUGGCAAAAUGUUCUUAAAAAUAAAAAACUUAUUUCUUGC